rnacentral:lncRNA from 1 species
GCCUCUUCCUCCCUUCUCCACUUCAUGUCCAUGCUAAGAUCUGAUGGAGAUCAGAUCUAAAAAGAGUAAAGAGAGAGAAGAAGAGAAGAAGAAGGAUUCUUCUUCUCUUCAUGAUGAUCUGAUUCAGAUCCCAUCGGAUCUGCGCGAAAGAGUUCGCACAGCGAUCUGCUUCUUCAAGAUCUAGGAGAAGAGAUCAAGAUCUAUGGAUGAGGAGCGAGAUCUGCAAGGUGCUAGCACAUCGGUGAUCUCAGUGCUCUGAUCAGAUGGCUCCGUAUGGAUAUCAGCAG